rnacentral:rRNA from 1 species
GACGAACGCUGGCGGCGUGCUUAACACAUGCAAGUCGAACGGAAAGGCCCUGCUUUUGUGGGGUGCUCGAGUGGCGAACGGGUGAGUAACACGUGAGUAACCUGCCCUUGACUUUGGGAUAACUUCAGGAAACUGGGGCUAAUACCGGAUAGGAGCUCCUGCUGCAUGGUGGGGGUUGGAAAGUUUCGGCGGUUGGGGAUGGACUCGCGGCUUAUCAGCUUGUUGGUGGGGUAGUGGCUUACCAAGGCUUUGACGGGUAGCCGGCCUGAGAGGGUGACCGGCCACAUUGGGACUGAGAUACGGGCCCGACUCCUACGGGAGGCAGCAGUGGGGAAUAUUGCACAAUGGGCGGAAGCCUGAUGCAGCAACGCCGCGUGCGGGAUGACGGCCUUCGGGUUGUAAACCGCUUUCGCCUGUGACGAAGCGUGAGUGACGGUAAUGGGUAAAGAAGCACCGGCUAACUACGUG